GUCGCUGGAACCUAGGAAUCCUGUAGUGAUACGAUGACGGUCUUCAUAUUCAAAACUUAGAUCUAUGAGCAGGGACAGAGCCAGAAUUUCAAAAUACGUGUAGCGAAAUUUUAAAUCAUUUACUGGUAAUUUGAGAUUCGCCGGUAAUUUGAUUGUUAAUUUAUUCAGGGGAUUCACUACAGAAAAGAAAAACCAAACCUUUUGCGACAAUCACAUUUCAUUGCUAAUUAAUGGCAAAAAUUAUCAUCAAGUGGAGAUUAAUGAUGGAUUAUUAACAAGCUUUCAAAAUACUAACUCUCUCAAAAUUCAAGAGAUUGUGCUAGAAAAUAUAAAUGACACUCUAAGGGGUAAUCAAGGAUAUCAAUUUAUUCUUCAAACCUGAGUGUUUCAAGAAAUGUUCUUAUCCCCAGUAGCGUAUUCAGGAAUCCCAGCUGGUAAGGGAGGCGAAAUUCGCCGAAUGCGAAAAAAAUGGCAUUAACUAUUUAUAAAAUCGAUUAUAAAAACCUAUAAAAAUGAAUAUUAAAUACAAUCAUGAAUUAAUAUUCAAAAUAUUAAAGUUAAGAUGAUAGUUAGCUAUUAUAUUUGAUUUUGCUAACUAACUAAAUGAAAUAAUGAACACUCAUUUUUACCUAUCAUCUUUUUAAUUCUAAGUCCAAAAAUAAGAAAUACCAUGAUGAUAGAGGAUUUGGG
rnacentral:lncRNA from 1 species